UAGACUGGUCCUUGGAAUUUCCAUUUAGCCACAGAACAGGUACUGCAUCACCAUUACAGACAUCUUCAAUACAGCCUGACAAUGUGCAAUAUAUUGGCUUGGAGGGAUCAUUGUGGGGUCAGAGGGUAGUUUUAUUUCCUUACUAGUCAGUCCUUGGCUUCU
rnacentral:sRNA from 1 species